ACGGCGAGUGAAGCGGGAAGAGCUCAAAUUUGAAAGCUGUGUGCCUUUGGUAACCGCAUUGUAAUCUCGAGAUCUGUAUACCKCGCUGGACCAUGUACAAGUCCCUUGGAAUAGGGCGUCAUAGAUGGUGAGAAUCCCGUACUUGACAUGGCCUCCCAUUGCUUUGUGAUACAGGCUCAACGAGUCGAGUUGUUUGGGAAUGCAGCUCAAAAUGGGUGGUAAAUUCCAUCUAAAGCUAAAUAUGGGGGAGAGACCGAUAGCGAACAAGUACCGUGAGGGAAAGAUGAAAAGCACUUUGGAAAGAAAGUUAAACAGUACGUGAAAUUGUCAAAAGGGAACCGUUUAAAGUUAGUCAUGCUUGCCUGGACUCAGCCUUGCUUUUGCUUGGUGCAUUUCCAGGUUAGCAGGUCACCAUCGGUUUUGACUGCUGGAUAAGGGUGAGAGGAAUGUGGCACCUUCGGGUGUGUUAUAGCCUCUUACUGGAUGCAGCAGUUGGGACCGAGGAACGCAGCGCGCCUUUAUGG
rnacentral:rRNA from 2 species